UCUGGUGUAAGUUUCCAUGUUUUAGCUGUACCUGUGACACAGGACACGAGAGAACGUGCUCAUGUGAACACAAGUGAAGGACACCGUGGGGACUUGCCACACAGCCCCAUUCCUUUUCCACAAGAGACGCCUGUACCAACCCAUGGUGGGGGAAAGGACAAAGAUGAGAUCCUGAGAAACUUGAGGAAUGUGGUAAUGGCAGCAGACACAUUCCUCUUGCAUCACAAUGGUCUGUGGUACCACCUCUGCACCUUGGCCCAAGACCUAACAGCAACAAAAUAAGGGUUGCAAAGACGAGGGCCAUGAAAUGGCACUACCACAUUGCUGGGUAUGAUUCAUUGUAGAACACACUGCUUUCCUACAGAUUAUGACAACUGACACCACCCCCGAGGAAUGUUAGCAUGGACAAAGUUUCCACACAGUCUGGCCACUACUUGAGAUCUGCAAAUGUUUAGAAACUUAAUUGUUUUAUUCCUUCUAAACUUACCUUUUUUAUCUGUUAAUAUUCUAUGCAUAUGUUGACUUUAAACAUUGCAAAAAGAUUAAAAACCAAAAAAUUAACAGCGGUUUCAUGAGCUUCUGGUAAUUACUAGCUGAACUCACUUUUACUUGUUUAUUUCUUCUGUAGCUA